UGGACCUACAUGCACAGAUAAAAGGAAAUGGACAUUUAAACAAUCAAUUGGAGACCAGAAUACUUGCUGCUUCAGACUCCGGGUAAAGUAGGCUGGAGAGAUGGCUCCACCAUCAAGAGCAGAGGACCAUGGCUGUAUUCCUAGCACCAGCCUGGUGGCUCACCACUGUCUUUAGCUCCAGUUUCAGAGGAUCCAACGCCCUCUUCUGACCUCUGAGGAAGCAAUGGAGCAAUCACCGGCUGCACAUAGACAUAGUGACUCUGAGAUGGCGUCGACUUAUGGCAGCUAAGGAUUUCCAGAAAGACCCAAGUGAUGUGGCGCUGAUGGAAUAGUGUGGACGUUCCGUGAAGAUUUGCAGUCUGAGCGUCACAUCAAGUGCUUACGUCACGCUCCAGGCUCCAGAGGCAGCCAAUGGAGGAGACGCCUCUUGCUGUCUUGGAAUUCAUUAAGUACAGGAGGGAGGUGCCAUAUAAACAUUACAUAGCUAUUAAGAAUGCAAUUACACAAAGAACCAGUUUACCACCAGCUCGAAAGGCUGUGAAACAGAAAAGAGCUCACGAGAGCAGCCGCCAGUGGGGUGUAGUGGCGAGAGGAGAAAUCGGUACGGAUAAGGAGGCAAACAUUCUCUGCAUGCAGUGGGUGCUGUGUGACUGAAGAAUUCAAGCACUGAUUAGACCGCAAAUCCAGUUGUGAGAGGCUUCAAUGGAUGAUAAAGUGGGCCGGCUUUAGAUGGCUAUUUCUUGAUGCUAGUCAUCCAAGAGGCUACAGGGAUGUGGUCUGUGCAUUAUUAUUUACCCUUGGCUUUGUUAUUUGUUUAUUGUUACUUUUUCUUUGUUCAAAUGCUCCCCCAAAUCAGUAUCUUUUUAAUUGCACAAUGUUUUAAAGUGGCUUUUAACCCUUUGUGGGGUGGGAUAGAGAUACGUAUGUCCAUAAAUUCAUACAAACACACCCCAAUCCAUGCUUGCUCAGGAAACAGAUGGGUGUUUGCUGGGCUGGAGAUACCUAGGUCUGUACAUUUCUACAAACACAUCCCAAUUCAUGCUUAUGCAUGGCAUGAAUGAGUUACGUUUCCUGAAACCGCAGCAAAUGAGAAGCAAAUUAGGAGUACGGUGUUAGCUAAAGAAGGGCCAGUGAGAAUGUCAGCUGACACCACAGAUGGGUGGCUCCGCCGAGAACUUUGUGAACUAUGGUUGAGACAAGUAAGUGUGUGAUGACAGCAAGGGCAGCUGCCCAAAGCCACGUCAAGCAGGGCCAAGGAGCCUUUCUCAUCCCUCUAAUCAAAGGUUUGGCAACAGACUGCAAGUUCCGAGCAUCCCGGAUACUUCCGCAGUAAGACUGGACCACAGCAUCCUACAGGCUUUCUCCCACAAGGUGUGCUCUGCUCAUUAUCAGUUAAAACUAUGUAACUUCCCUCCCUCCAAUUCCACUCCAGGUACCACCACACCAGGUUGGCAAUAGAAACCAUCACUUCUCAGCAGGGCUGGCUUGACAUGGUGACAAAAGCAAUGGGCAGACACUGGUAUCACUGGGCUGGAGAUUGCCGCUUUGCUUCUAAAGAGCUGCUGUGGUCUCACCCUGAGCUCAGCUGGUGUCAACGCCUAAAGCAGGUCCUCAAGGGCAAGAAUCCCUCCACGGACAGAAAAAUAGUCGUCAUAGAUUGAGUGGAAAUUUGGCUCUGAAUAAGUGAUAAUGUAGUUCAUGUGGUGAGAAGCUGAUGUCCCCUUUCUUUUCGUUGGUCCUGGCCUGUGUAAGGAGAGUGCUUCUCAGGGAGAGGUGAUUUAUUUGAGCCGUGCUUCUGAGUGACCUACACAAGGGAACCCUCGCCUGAGCUAGCAUGGCACACAGCCUAAAGGCAAAGGGCCGGCCUGGGCUUAAGUCUCUACCGGCAGCCAGCUCUCUCCUCUUAGACAAGUUAGCUGGUAUCUUUGGGUACUAGUUUUGUUGUCUUGGAGAUAACACCGAGGGGUGUGUGAGAGUUCAGUGUGUUACCAGUGAAUGUGUAAGACAGUGGCGACUAUAUUAAACACCAUGCAAACAGCAAAUAUUACAUCAUCAGUAAAUACACUGACGUCAGAGGAAGGAAGAAGUCGUUUCGAUUUUCUAAGGUAAGACGCAUGUCUGCUUCCCCCACUUUUUGAAAAGAGUAGCCCUGGCUGUCCUGGGACUCCCUGUGUAGUCCAGGCUGGCCUUGAACUCAUAGAAAUCUCCCUGCAUCUUCCUUCUGAGUGCUAGAUUAGAGGUGUGUGCCACCAUGCCCCAUUCCUUUUCCUUGGUAUUGUCUUAAACUUAUCAUUACAUUAAAUUUAAUUUACAAAUGUAUUAUUUUAAAAGAUCCCCUUUCUUGUAGUUUCACAUACCCUAAACUACGUGGGGAAGGGUUUGGGAGAAACAUGUUUGUGUCCUGACAGAUAAAGUUUUUGAGUUCUCUUGAGAAUGAUUAAAUGGGAGAUGGAAAUAUGGCUCAGUGGGUAGAAUGCUUGCCCAGCACAUACAAAGCCCUGAGUCCAGACCCCAGGACUGCAUAACUAGGUAUAGCGGUGCAGGUCCGUAAUCCCAGCACCAGGGAGGUGGAGGCAGGAGGAUCAGAACUUCAAGAUCAUCUUUGGUUGCAGAAUAAUUUGGAAGUUGCCUAGGCUCUAUGAGACUCUGUCUUGAAAACAAAACAAAACAAAGCAAAACAGUUUUAUGCACGAAACUCUAGGGCUCACAUUUUAAAAAGGUUUAUUUUAAACAUAGCUUCAACUUAAUUUAAAAAGUUUCAUAACACCAACAUUUCAGAGCCUUUAUUAAACAAAACGCUCUCACGGAGCACCGUGUGGUGGGCUUGCACCAAACACAAUCAUCGUCACAGGGUAAUUGUGUGGCGUUUUUCUCGCCUUUUUUGGUAUGGAUCCAUGCAUUUAUUUUAACAGUGCUUAUUACACAUUUUUCUGCAAUAUGUAAUGAGUGCCUAUUUAGGAUGCUCAAACUGUUGCCAUGAAUGUUUCCUGGCAAACCACCAUCCCCUCUUCACUGAGAUAUAAAUAAAAUCCUUAGCAAACUUGGACGUCUUCUUAGUGUCCCUGCCACCGUUCCCAUGGCUAGCCAGUGUCUUUUGCCAUGUGGAGUGGGCAUAUGCAUCUUCUCACUCAGAAUGGACUUUGGAAGGUGUUAUUGUGUAUGUCUUUCCAGUACGCACUCAGACUAGAGACGAUAACGGCCAGCUCUCACGGGACUGAAGAGCUAUAACUUACUUUGCCAACCUUGCCUUCAUGUGUCCUUGCUUUCUCUGGCAGAAACAUGCCAAAAACAGACAUUUCCUGUCUAAACACUCGGAUGUGCAGCUAUAAGAAUAAAGCGAUCUUACCGCGUAGCUGUCAUAAACGUCAUCAAGGUCACCUGCAAUCAUACCUAACUGAGGUCAUGGGCCAGGUUCCCCCGAAAGACUCAUCUGACCCAAGUUCGUGUGUCGCCACGUCUGCCUGUCUCUUUAACCUUCUUGACGUAAAUGUCACCUAAUAUGGUAACUGCUGGCUACAAGUUAAUUUUAAAACUGAAAUUUAACAGGAUGAAGAAAAUCAGAUGUCUGCGUGUCCCCUUUGUGGAGCUCAGUGUGACUGCUGUGUUGCCAGAGCAGGCAUGGGGUGUUGCCCAGACAGAUUUUGUCAGCCCGACACAAGCUAGGGUCAUCUUGGAAGAGGAAGCCUCAGUUGAGAAAAUGCCCCUGUAGAUUGGUUUGUGGAGCAUUUUCUUGAUUGGUGACUGAGAUGGAAGGGCCCCAGCCACUGCCUGCAAAGCCACCUGUGGUUAGAUGGUCCUGGGUUGUAUAAGAAAGUAUGCUGAGCGAGCCUUGGUGAGCAAGCCAGUAAGCAGCAUUCCUCCUCGGCUGUAGGUUCCUGUCUGUAGGUUCCUGUCUUGAGUUCCUGCCGUGACAUCCAACAAUG